AAUUCAGUUACCUCAAUUGGCUAUGCGCUUUGGCAGUGUGGUUAGCUGGUUGUGUAGCUGGUGCUCGUUGGCAAUUAAUUCACAGCCACUAUCUUCACUGCCGCCGCGACAAGCUAGAGCAACUUACCCAGAAUC
rnacentral:pre_miRNA from 15 species